AGCGCAUAUUUUAAUAGCUUAAUCUGUGCUUGCUUUUACUUCUUUGUGUUGCUUAGUCAACCAGCACAACAAAGUUGAAACUGCUCAUUGGUUCAUAUAACAAAACAUUGUUGGAAAGGCUAGGUGCAGGGGAAAUGCUGGUGGUUGUGGUGGGUAGACAGAUUUGUGAUGGAGGUAGCAAAUGUCAAUAGUAGCAGAAGGAGUAGCAGCAGCAGCAACAACAAUAGUAAUAGAUUUUGCAUAAUUCUACAAGUUCUGGAGAAUUCGUGCUCUUAGUUGCAACAAAAAGAAAUGGAGAUUCUUGUUUUUAAGGUCUUCUUCUUUUAGGUAGCUCAAAGAUGUAUCAGAAAAUAAAUUAUUUUUUUCCUCCAAGAUGCUCCCAAGCUUGUAGAACAUGUAACUGUUCACUCUGUUGCCAUAACUACACGCUUUUGGUCACAUUAAUUUGUUGCCAACGCAAGCGUUUGUGGAUGGAAGCUGCAGUCUGCCAAUAGACAGCCCUCAAAACAUGCAACCGCGUAUGGCAAAAAGCGGUUGGCGUCUCUCUUGUGCAAAAACAAUAACUCAUCAUGGUCGGUUAUUGUUUAUUCCAAGUGAGCAAAUUGUGAAGAAAGAGAUACAUCUCCUCUUGAAAUGACUUUUGGGUGAUCACUGUUUAAAACCGAGGGCCACAAUACCAGAUAAAGUCACAUUGGAGCAUGGCUACAAUUUUCUUCUACACUUGUUUUUGGAUCCCAUUGCUGCAAAUGAAAAGAGGUCUGGCCAGAUUGGU